UACGAAGGGGGCUAGCGUUGUUCGGAAUUACUGGGCGUAAAGCGCGCGCAGGCGGUCUUCCAAGUCAGUGGUGAAAGCCCGGAGCUCAACUCCGGAACUGCCAUUGAAACUGUGAGACUUGAGGAUGAGAGAGGUGAGUGGAAUUCCCAGUGUAGAGGUGAAAUUCGUAGAUAUUGGGAAGAACACCAGUGGCGAAGGCGGCUUCCUGGUCUGUAACUGACGCUGAGGCGCGAAAGCGUGGGGAGCAAACAGG
rnacentral:rRNA from 1 species